UUAGGGUCUUAAGUCGGUCACAAGAUCGGCCAAAACAAGCACGAGGUCGCCCAGACCAAUCAAAACUCGAUAAAUGUUACUCCACGGGCGCUCCGGGACACUAAUCGGUCUCCGAUUGGUUUCCUCCAUUUUUUAUGGAUAAACAUCAUCCAAAAUGCAUAAGCUCGACCCUAAAGGAUAAGGAUGACCGGAAUUGUGGAUAAGCUUGAGCCUUAACGGAUAAACAUGAACCAUAGUUCAAUCUGCUUUUCCAAGCUUUCCUGAACGUCCAUGGAAGAGCAAGUGAGGGUGAUGGAGCUGGCUUGAAUCGUUUCACCAUCCUCUCGAUUAUAGCAGCCUUCUCCUCCAAGUCAGACUGAGCCUGAUAGAAAGGUUGAGCUGAAUAGUCGAUCUCAGCAACAGAGACUUCAAUCUGAGUGGAAGCCUCCCCUUCUUGAAUUACGCUGUCCUCAGUGUUUGAUGUAGAGACAUGUUGAGUUGGCAGGCUCUCGCUCAUGUCUGAUAGUGAUUGCGUGUGCAGUGGCGUACUCCUUAGGGUUUUGGAUUGCUUUUCCUGGAAGCUGGCCUGGGUUGUUUGUAACAGGUGGUGAAGUAGUGACGCCGUCUAGAUACCGUACCCUUGUGUUCAAUGAUUCCAACCUGCUACUCAGUUCAUUGAACUGUCUGUCAACUUUGUUGUUUAAGUCAGCUAUCUUCUUAGCAGAUUCCAUUACCCCUGCGGCUUGACCUUGCAUGAUCUGUUGGAGCAUAUUCUUGAUGUCUGAUUCCUGGGGUGCAGAGGCCUGAUGUUGUUGUGGUGUGAAACCAGGUGGUGGCUGUUGCUGUUGAUACCCUCCUUGGAACUGUUGCUUAGGAACGAACCCUAGGCUUUGGUUGUAAGUAACAAACGGUUUGGGUUGGUUCUGCUGCAGCUGCUGUUGAAGGUAAACUUGGUCCUGAGGAUUGGCGACAUUUGUGCUUCUGUAUGACAGAUUUGGGUUGGGUCUGUAAUUGUUGUACCCUUUGUUGUAGCCGCCUUGGUUCUGAACAUAACUGAUUUCAGCGCCCUGAUCAUUCUCCCCCUCUUGGAUUUGGAAUACUUCGUCUUCAGAGGCGAAGUGAACAUGCUUCUGCUGCACUUGGAGGAGUUUGUCGAUUUUGUCAUGGAGAGCUUUAAUCUCUCGGCGGUGCUUGUCAUCAGAUUCAUUACUGGUGCAGAUGCUUCUGUCAUAAUCCUCGUUGUAAUUGCCAUCCGACUGAGCCAAGUUUUCAACUAGCUCCCAUCCGUCUUCGACAUCCUUGUUCAGGAAAUUCCCGUUGGAGGCGGUGUCAAGGAGCAUACGUAUCUUAGGCAGGACGCCUCUGUAAAGUGUGCUGAGAAGAGAUGCUUCCUUAAAUCCGUGAUGAGGGCAUUUGGUUUGAUAACCCUUAAAGCGCUCCCAAGCUUCACAGAAGCUUUCAUUUUGCUUCUGAGUGAAUCCGGAUAUCUCGUUCCGGAGUCUUGCAGUCCUGGAGUUGGAGAAGAAUUUUGCCAAGAAGGCCUUUUUGCAGUCAUCCCAGGUCGUGAUUGAUCCCUGGGGUAGCGUUUUUUCCCACAGAUGGGCUUUAUCUCCAAGUGAAAAUGGGAACAAGCGAAGCUUGAAACCAUCUUCACUAACUCCAUUGAUUUUAGUAAGGC
rnacentral:sRNA from 1 species